UGAUUCUUUUAUCGAUUUUAAUUCCGAAAAAUGUUUAAAAAUUCCAGAAAAUUCCCGAAAAAUCAUUUUUAACCCAAGAGUUGAUUUGAUAUCAAUCGGGGUGGGAAACCUUAUGUGUAAUGUGUUGUCUGCUAUCUGUUUGAUGUGUUAUGUGCCGAUAGAGGAGUUAGAAAACGGUUUUGACCAUAUCUUUGGAUCCGUAAGUCGGAAUCAAGUGAAACGAAAGAGAGACAGAAGCUUAUAACGUUUAUUUUAAUAUGAUGUGAUUAUAUGGCUGAGUCUAUAAGGUGAAUAAUUGUUGAUAAGUAUGCAUAAUGUGAUAAUAUGUGAUCUAAGUGUUAUCAGGUGAUGAUUAUGUGAAGUACGUGUUAGUUUUGAUAUUGUGAAGUGAUAAAU
rnacentral:lncRNA from 1 species